CUGACAUCCACAUAAGCUAGUGAAGCUUGAACAUUCUUCAAGCUGUAUUUGCUCUUGAUGUCAAUAACAAAUGCAAUCAGAUCUAUCCUGGGCCGAAGGUGAUCCCUCUCUGAAGGUAAAGGGAGGGACGAUGCAAGGUGGAUGUUGAUGUUGAAGUCCUUCUUCUCGCGCAGCAUGGCCUCGGCGAGCUGCUGCUGCGGGCCGCCCUCCGCGCCCACCAGCAGUAUGGUGGCGCUGUUGAGCUCCGGCAGCUUAUCGAAGGGCCGCAGCACCGCCAUCCCCGCUGCCGGCCGCUCGGCGAUUUGAAAACGGCCGCCUCGCGUGACGUCACGCCGGGGGCGGGGCGGGGCGGGGCCGCGCGGCGCGGGCGCGCGCUCGGCGGGGAGCGCGCCGGCGACGGCAGCGGCGACGGCGCUGCUGCGGGUGCGGGCGUUGCGGGCGUGCGGACGGGCGAAGCCCGGGCUGCUUGGUGACCGGCUUCGGGAAAGGCUGGCGCCUUGUCCCUGGAGCUGCCUUUGCCCCGGCCUCCAUCCCGCUCCUCCUCGGCCCUCCCCGUGCCUCGCUCGGUGCUGCAAACGCAGUCCGUGCAAAACCGCGGCAGCCGCGGAGCUGUCGUCGCACGGAGGAGCUCAAGCGUGAGGACGGGGCGCGCAGCAGCCUCGGGGCUGCUCCCCUUGCGCUGCUCCUCGCCCCGUGAGCACAGCGGGGCUCCCCGUGCGCAGAGGCCGACACGGAGCCGCGGCUGCGUUUUCUCCUCCGAUGAGCCGCGCGGGGGGCGCGAUGGAGGCUGACAUCACACCCGCUUUGAUCCUGACAAAGGCAGACGGCUCAGCUCGUCGCCAGCGCCGCGGCAGGUGAAGCAGAAGCGAUGGCGGAUAUUUCUGGCUGCCGCAGCGGUCGGCGCGGGGGGGGAGGGGGAGAAGGGAGGCUGCGGUCGGGGCAGAGCUCCACGUGCGCUCCGCUUUCGGCCAAAAGAGCGAUCGUGGAGCAGCGAUGGUUUGGUUGUUGCUGAGUGAUGGAAGCGCGCCCAGUGCCAGGCCGGGAAGAGCCACUGCCUCCGUGGCGUCGUAAAGCCACGGGGAGGUGACCAAGGAAAGGCCUCCUCGGGGGUUGCUGGGUGUCAGCCGGUGGGUGGUGAGACCUCACCAUGCUGGCGGUCAGAGGGCGGUUGUGUUGCUGCUGGUCAGCAGUCUGCAAGCGGUUGCAUUGUGACUAUAUAAAUACAUAUCUGUAGUUAUCAUUGCCCAGUCGUUCCUCUGUUCUGUGUUAAUAAAUAGCUUUUCUCUCAACCCACCAGUUCUAUUCUGCUUCCACUUCUCUCCCUCGUCCCACCCGGGGGACCGCAUACAGCCGCAUGGCGCUGAGCUGCCGCGUGGUUACCUGCAUGGCACCCGCGGGCACUCAGGGGGCUCCCAGCAGCCCCACUGCUGCCAGCAGAGCUCUGUGGGAUGCGGUUGCACACACACUGGGCUGCCUUUGCUCUCUCCCAGCACGCACAAGUGAUGUAAUUUGCUGCAAGUGCAUGUUAGGAGGGAAACGAAUGACAUUUCCACAUAUGUUGCUGGCAACUUCAGUUUCCUUUGGCAAAGGCUCCCCCCAGCUGUCUUUAGACUCGACGUAAGUCAGUUUUUUCUAUUACACUCUUUAUUUUAAAGUGUACGUUUCCGUGUCUUUUUGAACAACUCAGCAAAGCUUCCCAAUGGGUUUCUUGACCCAAAGCCCCACUGACAGCCAGAGUUGGGGGCUCUGUGCCUCUCGCUGGGGUUUUGUCCUCCACUGAGGAGCCUGGGGGAGGUUCCAUUGGCACUUAACAACGGGGAACGUUUGCCUGAGGUUUCCUGGCCAUUUCCUCUUUCUCCAGUCAGGGUUUUGGCAGGAAGGUCUCACAUCAAAGCUCUUCUGGGUAAAGAUGUGACUGCACAAGGACGCACAGGAAGCUGGGGCUGGGAGCAGGCUGCCCAAGGGGGCGAUGGGGUCACCGUCACUGGAGUUGCUCAAGAGCCAUGUGGAUGUGGCACUGAGGGACGUGGUUAGUGGGCAUGAUGGGAGGGGGCUGAUAAUAGGUCUAGAUGAUCUUAGGCACCUUUCCCAACCUUAUUCAGUGGCUCUAUAACCUAGUCAUUUCCCCCAGAGUGCGUAGUUCCAGGCAGCAC
rnacentral:lncRNA from 1 species